AGAUGCUAUUAUUCCAGACACUCCGAUACUUCAGAGUGGCUGCUGACACUCUGUCAGCCCAGAACACAAUAAGAAGAAUUUUACUUUCCUUCUAACUACAGAGCACGACUUUCAAGUUGUUUAUGCCGUAGUGAAAGAACCAGAAUAUUCCGGCUCGAAUUUUGAUUUAAAGAUCGCUUUAGUGGCGAUCCACGGACUGAGUCCGCCUGGCUGCAUGCGGCGAGGAUACCUGACAUCCGAGCCACCUCCGACCUGAGCGCAGAGCUAAAUGAAAUGUUUGCCGAUUAUGUCCUCGCCGCGCUGCCGGUCACAGAGUCAAUGCGGACAAAUGAGCUGAUCUGUGGCCGAGCAUGGCCUGAAUUCUAAAGGAGACGUUACUCCACAGACGCUCAUCGAUGCCAGCAGAGAGACAAGGUUCCAGUGGAUCACAUAAACCCUUCAGGACUAUAUUACUGGUCGUGCUCAGAGCCACAUAUUUAAAGCACCGAGCGAUACCUUUUUCAAUAAAUUGGCACAAUUUUGUGAGA